CCUACGGGAUGCAGCAGUGGGGAAUAUUGGGCAAUGGGCGCAAGCCUGACCCAGCAACGCCGCGUGAAGGAAGAAGGCCCUCGGGUUGUAAACUUCUUUUAACAGGGACGAAGAAAGUGACGGUACCUGUUGAAUAAGCAACGGCUAACUACGUGCCAGCAGCCGCGGUAAUACGUCGGUGGCAAGCGUUCUCCGGAUUUACUGGGUGUAAAGGGCGAGUAGGUGGGAGAGCAAGUCAGACGUGAAAUUCCAGGGCUCAACCCUGGAACUGCGUUUGAAACUGUUCUUCUUGAGUGAUGGAGAGGCAGGCGAAAUGCCGUGGGUAGCGGUGAAAGGCGUAGAUAUACGGAGGAACACCAGUGGCGAAGCGGCCUGCUGGACAUUAACUGACGCUGAGGCGCGAAAGCGUGGGGAGCAAACAGGAUUAGAUACCCCAGUAGUC
rnacentral:rRNA from 1 species